CCCCUCAGGAAAGUAGCGUCUUGAUCUGUGUGGCGUGGUUCUGUGCCUUGGGAAGAGAUGAAUGGGAAGCGGCCAGCGGAGCCCGGCGCAGCCCGGGUGGGAAAAAAGGGAAAGAAGGAGGUGAUGGCGGAGUUUUCGGACGCUGUUACGGAAGAAACCUUGAAAAAGCAGGUGGCUGAGGCCUGGAGCCGCAGGACGCCGUUCAGUCACGAAGUCAUUGUCAUGGACAUGGACCCUUUUCUUCACUGUGUGAUCCCAAACUUCAUCCAAAGCCAAGACUUCUUAGAAGGGCUUCAGAAGGAACUGAUGAACUUGGACUUCCAUGAGAAGUAUAAUGAUUUAUAUAAGUUCCAGCAGGUAUUUAUUCCCCUGCCACAUUAACUCUUCCAGCUUGGAAAUUCACUGUCUAUGAAAUCAUUGAAUACCUUUAGACUUGAGGUUUUAGGGUGGGUUUGCCUUGAACAGUCCUUGCAUUGACAUUGUUAAGAGCAUGCCUUCAUUUAACCAAGCUUACUGAGUGUUAACUAUGUGUUAAGUGCUAUAAUUAUAUGGAAGCCUUAGACAGUGCCUGCCCUGUAAGACUUUAAAAUCUAGUGUUCAAAGUGAAAGCUCUGUACUCUCAAAGACUUCUCAGUUUCUUCA
rnacentral:sRNA from 1 species